rnacentral:rRNA from 1 species
UACGUAGGGACCAAGCGUUGUUCGGAUUUACUGGGCGUAAAGGGCGCGUAGGCGGCAAUUCAAGUCAUCUGUGAAAUCUCCGGGCUUAACUCGGAACGGUCAGAUGAUACUGCUUUGCUAGAGUACAGAAGGGGCAAUCGGAAUUCUUGGUGUAGCGGUGAAAUGCGUAGAUAUCAAGAGGAACACCUGAGGUGAAGACGGGUUGCUGGGCUGAUACUGACGCUGAGGCGCGAAAGCUAGGGGAGCAAACAGG